rnacentral:rRNA from 1 species
UACGAAGGGGGCUAGCGUUGCUCGGAAUCACUGGGCGUAAAGGGUGCGUAGGCGGGUCUUUAAGUCUGGGGUGAAAUCCUGGAGCUCAACUCCAGAACUGCCUUUGAUACUGAAGAUCUUGAGUUCGGGAGAGGUGAGUGGAACUGCGAGUGUAGAGGUGAAAUUCGUAGAUAUUCGCAAGAACACCAGUGGCGAAGGCGGCUCACUGGCCCGAUACUGACGCUGAGGCACGAAGGCGUGGGGAGCAAACAGG